GGACUACUGGGGUAUCUAAUCCCGUUUGCUCCCCUAGCUUUCGCGCCUCAGCGUCAGAAGAAAUCCAGUGCGCCGCUUUCGCCACCGGCGUUCCUUCCGAUAUCAACGCAUUUCACCGCUCCACCGGAAGUUCCGCACACCCCUAUUUCCCUCAAGACCGACAGUAUCGAAGGCACUUCUGCAGUUGAGCUGCAGGAUUUCACCCCCGACUUGUUGGACCGCCUACGCGCCCUUUAAGCCCAGUGAUUCCGAACAACGUUAGGACAGUUCGUCUUACCGCGGCUGCUGGCAC
rnacentral:rRNA from 1 species